AACCCUUGUCAUUAGUUGCUACGAAAGGGCACUCUAAUGAACUGCCGGUGACAAACCGGAGGAAGGUGGGGAUGACGUCAAGUCCUCAUGGCCCUUAUAGGUGGGGCUACACACGUCAUACAAUGGCUGGUACAGAGGGUUGCCAACCCGCGAGGGGGAGCUAAUCCCAUAAAACCAGUCGUAGUCCGGAUCGCAGUCUGCAACUCGACUGCGUGAAGUCGGAAUCGCUAUUAAUCGCGGAUCAGAAUGUCCCGGUGAAUACGUU
rnacentral:rRNA from 1 species